rnacentral:SRP_RNA from 1 species
AUUCAGGGGCAAGGUUCCACAUAUGAAGGGUGUCAGGUUCGGAAGAAAGCAGCACUAAGUAUGCUGGGGCUUGUGCCUCUUUUUUUU